rnacentral:rRNA from 1 species
GAGCGGAAACGAUCCUUAGCUUUCUAGGAGGCGUCUAGCGGCGGACGGGUGAGUUAUGCAUAGGAUUCUGCCCGGUAGUGGGGGAUAACUUGAGGAAACUCAAGCUAAUACCGCAUACGCCCUACGGGGGAAAGCAGGGGCUCUUCGGACCUUGCGCUAUCGGAUGAGCUUAUGUCGGAUUAGCUGGUUGGUGAGGUAACGGCUCACCAAGGCGACGAUCCGUAGCUGGUCUGAGAGGAUGAUCAGCCACAUCGGGACUGANACACGGCCCGAACUCCUACGGGAGGCAGCAGUGGGGAAUAUUGGACAAUGGGGGCAACCCUGAUCCAGCCNUGCCGCGUGUGUGAAGAAGGCCCUCGGGUUGUAAAGCACUUUCAGCGAGGAAGAAUGCUUGUCGGUUAAUACCCGGCAAGGGAGACAUCACUCGCAGAAGAAGCACCGGCUAACUCCGUGCCAGCACCCGCGGUAAUACGGAGGGUGCGAGCGUUAAUCGGAAUUACUGGGCGUAAAGCGUGCGUAGGCGGCUUGAUAAGCCGGUUGUGAAAGCCCCGGGCUCAACCUGGGAACGGCAUCCGGAACUGUUAGGCUAGAGUGCAGGAGAGGAAGGUAGAAUUCCCGGUGUAGCGGUGAAAUGCGUAGAGAUCGGGAGGAAUACCAGUGGCGAAGGCGGCCUUCUGGACUGACACUGACCCUGAGGUACGAAAAGCGUGGGUAGCAACUGGAUUAGAUAUCCUGGUAGUCCACGCCGUAACGAUGUCAACUACCCGUUGGGGUCCUCGAGACCUUUGUGGCGCANUUUAACGCAUAAGUCGACCGCCUGGGGAGUACGGCCGCAAGGUUAAAACUUAAAUGAAUUUGACGGGGGCCCGCU